AGUUGAUAGAUGCAGUCACUGUCGUCAUGGUCACCUCUUUUUAGUCUUUAGGCCAACAGCAUUAGAAAAGUUUGUGCUGGUCAAAGCUGUGCAGCACAGCCAUCACUAUGCUGCCGACUACUGAGCCUCUGGGACUGCCAUCGAUUCUAAAAUUAUCAGGCAAUAAUCAGAC